rnacentral:rRNA from 1 species
GAUGAACGCUGGCGGCGUGGAUAAGGCAUGCAAGUCGAACGAAAUCUUUCCUGAAGAAGUUGCGAUUACAUCAAGAUGACGGAUUGAAGGAUUUAGUGGCGAACGAGUUAGUAACACCUUGGUAACGUACCUCCGAGUCGGGCACAACGGGUCGAAAGAUCCGCUAAUUCCCCGAUAGUCCCGCAAGGGUAAAGUCGCAAGACGCUUGGAGAGCGGCCUAGGUCCUAUCAGCUUGNGGCGGGGUAACGGCCCACCAAGGCUACGACGGGUAGGGGGUGUGAGAGCAUGACCCUCAACGACGAAACUGAGAUACGGUUCGUACACCUACGGGUGGCAGCAGUCGAGAAUAUUCGACAAUGGGCGAAAGCCUGAUCGAGCGACGCC